AUCCUUUUGGGGUUGGUGGAUGUGAUGACUGGGUUUCCAAGCACGUGUGACAUGUGCCUCCCUCAGACCUUGUUACCACAUCCAUGCUGUAGCCAUAGGAUG